rnacentral:rRNA from 1 species
UACGUAGGGGGCUAGCGUUGUCCGGAAUCAUUGGGCGUAAAGAGCGCGUAGGCGGCCCUGUAAGUCCGCUGUGAAAGUCAAGGGCUCAACCCUUGGAUGCCGGUGGAUACUGCAGGGCUAGAGUCCGGAAGAGGCGAGUGGAGUUCCUGGUGUAGCGGUGAAAUGCGCAGAUAUCAGGAGGAACACCGAUGGCGAAGGCAGCUCGCUGGGACGGUACUGACGCUGAGGCGCGAAAGCGUGGGGAGCAAACAGG